rnacentral:rRNA from 1 species
CCUACGGGAGGCAGCAGUGAGGAAUAUUGGUCAAUGGGCGCGAGCCUGAACCAGCCAAGUCGCGUGAAGGAUGACUGCCCUACGGGUUGUAAACUUCUUUUAUAAAGGAAUAAAGUGAGGCACGUGUGCCUUUUUGUAUGUACUUUAUGAAUAAGGAUCGGCUAACUCCGUGCCAGCAGCCGCGGUAAUACGGAGGAUCCGAGCGUUAUCCGGAUUUAGUGGGGGUAAAGGGCGCGUAGAUGGGGUGUUAAGUCAGUUGUGAAAGUUUGCGGCUCAACCGUAAAAUUGCAAUUGAUACUGGCAGCCUUGAGUGCAGGUGAGGUAGGCGGAAUUCGUGGUGUAGCGGUGAAAUGCGUAGAUAUCACGAAGAACUCCGAUUGCGAAGGCAGCUUACUAAACUGCCACUGACAUUGAUGCUCGAAAGUGUGGGUAUCAAACAGGAUUAGAUACCCGAGUAGUC